rnacentral:rRNA from 1 species
CUACUGUACCAGAAGUUAUUGUGCUAACCGUAAGGAGGCAGAUGCCUAAGGUAUGGUCGGUGAUUGGGGUGAAGUCGUAACAAGGUAGCCGUAGGUGAACCUGCAGAAGGAUCA